rnacentral:rRNA from 1 species
CUACGUGCCAGCAGCCGCGGUAAUACGUAGGUGGCAGGCGUUGUCCGGAAUUAUUGGGCGUAAAGCGCGCGCAGGCGGAUCAGUCAGUCUGUCUUAAAAGUUCGGGGCUUAACCCCGUGAUGGGAUGGAAACUGCUGAUCUAGAGUAUCGGAGAGGAAAGUGGAAUUCCUAGUGUAGCGGUGAAAUGCGUAGAUAUUAGGAAGAACACCAGUGGCGAAGGCGACUUUCUGGACGAAAACUGACGCUGAGGCGCGAAAGCCAGGGGAGCGAACGGGAUUAGAUACCCCGGUAGUUCUGGCCGUAAACGAUGGGUACUAGGUGUAGGAGGUAUCGACCCCUUCUGUGCCGGAGUUAACGCAGUAAGUACCCCGCCUGGGGAGUACGACCGCAAGGUUGAAACUCAAAGGAAUUGACGGGGGCCCGCACAAGCGGUGGAGUAUGUGGUUUAAUUCGACGCAACGCGAAGAACCUUACCAGGUCUUGACAUUGAUGGACAGAACUAGAGAUAG